UUAGAUUGUGAAUCUAAUAAUAAAAGCCCAGGCCUUUUUAUUUACC
rnacentral:tRNA from 1 species